UACGGGGGGAGCAAGCGUUGUUCGGAUUUACUGGGCGUAAAGGGCGCGUAGGCGGCCACCGCAAGUCGACUGUGAGAUCUCCGGGCUUAACCCGGAAGGGUCAGCCGAUACUGCGGGGCUAGAGUGCAGAAGGGGCAACUGGAAUUCUCGGUGUAGCGGUGAAAUGCGUAGAUAUCGAGAGGAACACCUGCGGCGAAGGCGGGUUGCUGGGCUGACACUGACGCUGAUGCGCGAAAGCUAGGGGAGCGAACGGG
rnacentral:rRNA from 1 species